CCUAAAUCAGAUUAGCUAGUUGGUGGGGUAAAGGCCUACCAAGGCGACGAUCUGUAGCGGGUCUGAGAGGAUGAUCCGCCACACUGGGACUGAGACACGGCCCAGACUCCUACGGGAGGCAGCAGUGGGGAAUAUUGGACAAUGGGCGAAAGCCUGAUCCAGCCAUGCCGCGUGUGUGAAGAAGGCCUUUUGGUUGUAAAGCACUUUAAGCGAGAAGGAGGCUACUGAAAUUAAUACUCUUGGAUAGUGGACGUUACUCACAGAAUAAGCACCGGCUAACUCUGUGCCAGCAGCCGCGGUAAUACAGAGGGCGCGAGCGUUAAUCAGAUUUACUGGGGCUAAAGCGCGCGUAGCCG
rnacentral:rRNA from 1 species